GGUCUCGGUCCCGGUCCAGGUGCCAGCCUAGACUCCGGCCAGGGAGGUCCUCAAGGCCAGGUUGGAGGGGCUCUGAGCAGGCUGGGCUGUGCAAGGUGCCCCUGUCCGGCAGGGCGCUGGAUCGAGGUUCCUUCCGAGGCAGCCCGUGCCCCUGGGGUGUGUGGCGGCCCCUCCGGCCGGGCACACCGCCUGUGUGCUGCCCCCGCGGGGCAAAGCGCCGGGACCGCCCCGCUCAUGCGUCCCUUUUCAGCGCUCCAGAUCUCUCUUGUAGCUUCUUUCUUCCUUUAGGCCCUUCAGGCUCCUCGUCUUCACCUCUGCCCACGCUUUUGUUUCUUCUCUGUUCAAAACAUGCAGCUUCCCCUGUGCGCUGUCAGGCAGAGGCUUCCCGUGCUCUGUCACUCCCUGUCCCGCAAAGGGAGCAAGGACGGGGACGCAGCGGCUGCUCCUGGGAAGCUCCGGGCCAGAGCUCCAUCCGCGCUUCUGUUUUCACGGGGCAGGCAGAAUCCAAGCACCGAGGCGCCCUGUGUGCUGGUUUAUAAUGUGACUAGAAGACCUGGACAGCAGUGGAAGUUCCACUGGUGCUGAAACAAUGCACAUGCACAGCAAGAGCAGAUGCAGCACAGGGCUCCUCACUGCUGGUCACUGAGCUGAGCACAGCAGGAAAAAAAACCUCCAACAUAAUCCUACACUGAUUAAAACAUACUCUUACUUA